AUUGAACGCUGGCGGCGGGCCUACACAUUCAAGUCGAACCAGUUGCGGACGGGUUAGUAAUGUCUGGGAAACUGCCUGAUUGACGGGGAUAACUACUUGAAAAGGUAACUAAUUCCCCAUUCCAUCCGUUGUGCCCCGAUGGGAUUAGCCUGUUGGUGGGGUAACGGCUAACCAGGGCGACGCUCCCUAGCUGGUCUGAGAGGAUGACCAGCCACACUGGAACUGAGACACGGUCCAGACUCCUACGGGAGGCAGCAGUGGGGAAUAGUGCACAAUGGGCGCAAGCCUGAUGCAGCCAUGCCGCGUGUAUGAAGAAGGCCUUCGGGUUGUAAAGUACUUUCAGCGGGGAGGCGGUACCCGAAGAAGAAGCACCGGCUAACUCCGUGCCAGCAGCCGCGGUAAUUC
rnacentral:rRNA from 1 species